CUACGGGGCGCAGCAGUGGGGAAUAUUGCGCAAUGGAGGAAACUCUGAUGCAGCAACGCCGCGUGGAGGAUGACACUUUUCGGAGCGUAAACUCCUUUUAUAUAGGAAGAUAAUGACGGUACUAUAUGAAUAAGCACCGGCUAACUCCGUGCCAGCAGCCGCGGUAAUACGGAGGGUGCAAGCGUUACUCGGAAUCACUGGGCGUAAAGAGCGUGUAGGCGGAUAGAUAAGUCAGGAGUGAAAUCCUAUGGCUCAACCAUAGAACUGCUCUUGAAACUGUCUAUCUAGAAUAUGGGAGAGGUAGAUGGAAUUUCUGGUGUAGGGGUAAAAUCCGUAGAGAUCAGAAGGAAUACCGAUUGCGAAGGCGAUCUACUGGAACAUUAUUGACGCUGAGACGCGAAAGCGUGGGGAGCAAACAGGAUUAGAUACCCUCGUAGUC
rnacentral:rRNA from 1 species